rnacentral:rRNA from 1 species
UACGGGGGGGGCAAGCGUUGUUCGGAAUUACUGGGCGUAAAGGGCUCGUAGGUGGCCAACUAAGUCAGACGUGAAAUCCCUCGGCUUAACCGGGGAACUGCGUCUGAUACUGGAUGGCUUGAGUUCGGGAGAGGGAUGCGGAAUUCCAGGUGUAGCGGUGAAAUGCGUAGAUAUCUGGAGGAACACCGGUGGCGAAGGCGGCAUUCUGGACCAUAACUGACACUGAGAGACGAAAGCCAGGGGAGCAAACGGG